GCCUGGGUGGCUCAGUCCGUUGAGCAUCCGACUUCGGCUCGGGUCAUGACUUGUGGUUCGUGAGUUCGAGCCCCGCGUCGGGCU
rnacentral:tRNA from 1 species